GGUUAAGCGACUAAGCGUACACGGUGGAUGCCCUGGCAGUCAGAGGCGAUGAAGGACGUGCUAAUCUGCGAAAAGCGUCGGUAAGGUGAUAUGAACCGUUAUAGCCGGCGAUGUCCGAAUGGGGAAACCCAGUGCAAUUCGUUGCACUAUCGUUAACUGAAUACAUAGGUUAACGAGGCGAACCGGGGGAACUGAAACAUCUAAGUACCCCGAGGAAAAGAAAUCAACCGAGAUUCCCCCAGUAGCGGCGAGCGAACGGGGAGCAGCCCAGAGUCUGAAUCAGCUUGUGUGUUAGUGGAACGGUCUGGAAAGUCCGACGGUACAGGGUGAUAGUCCCGUACACCAAAAUGCACAGGUUGUGAACUCGAAGAGUAGGGCGGGACACGUGGUAUCCUGUCUGAAUAUGGGGGGACCAUCCUCCAAGGCUAAAUACUCCUGACUGACCGAUAGUGAACCAGUACCGUGAGGGAAAGGCGAAAAGAACCCCGGCGAGGGGAGUGAAAAAGAACCUGAAACCGUGUACGUACAAGCAGUGGGAGCACCUUCGGGUGUGACUGCGUACCUUUUGUAUAAUGGGUCAGCGACUUAUAUUCUGUAGCAAGGUUAACCGUAUAGGGGAGCCGCAGGGAAACCGAGUCUUAACUGGGCGUUAAGUUGCAGGGUAUAGACCCGAAACCCGGUGAUCUAGCCAUGGGCAGGUUGAAGGUUGGGUAACACUAACUGGAGGACCGAACCGACUAAUGUUGAAAAAUUAGCGGAUGACUUGUGGCUGGGGGUGAAAGGCCAAUCAAACCGGGAGAUAGCUGGUUCUCCCCGAAAGCUAUUUAGGUAGCGCCUCGUGAAUUCAUCUUCGGGGGUAGAGCACUGUUUCGGCUAGGGGGUCAUCCCGACUUACCAACCCGAUGCAAACUACGAAUACCGAAGAAUGUUAUCACGGGAGACACACGGCGGGUGCUAACGUCCGUCGUGAAGAGGGAAACAACCCAGACCGCCAGCUAAGGUCCCAAAGUCAUGGUUAAGUGGGAAACGAUGUGGGAAGGCACAGACAGCCAGGAUGUUGGCUUAGAAGCAGCCAUCAUUUAAAGAAAGCGUAAUAGCUCACUGGUCGAGUCGGCCUGCGCGGAAGAUGUAACGGGGCUAAACCAUGCACCGAAGCUGCGGCAGCGACACUAUGUGUUGUUGGGUAGGGGAGCGUUCUGUAAGCCUGCGAAGGUGACCUGUGAGGGUUGCUGGAGGUAUCAGAAGUGCGAAUGCUGACAUAAGUAACGAUAAAGCGGGUGAAAAGCCCGCUCGCCGGAAGACCAAGGGUUCCUGUCCAACGUUAAUCGGGGCAGGGUGAGUCGACCCCUAAGGCGAGGCCGAAAGGCGUAGUCGAUGGGAAACAGGUUAAUAUUCCUGUACUUGGUGUUACUGCGAAGGGGGGACGGAGAAGGCUAUGUUAGCCGGGCGACGGUUGUCCCGGUUUAAGCAUGUAGGCUGGUUAUCCAGGCAAAUCCGGAUAAUCAAGGCUGAGGUGUGAUGACGAGGCACUACGGUGCUGAAGUAACAAAUGCCCUGCUUCCAGGAAAAGCCUCUAAGCAUCAGGUAACAUCAAAUCGUACCCCAAACCGACACAGGUGGUCAGGUAGAGAAUACCAAGGCGCUUGAGAGAACUCGGGUGAAGGAACUAGGCAAAAUGGUGCCGUAACUUCGGGAGAAGGCACGCUGGUGUGUAGGUGAAGUCCCUGCGGAUGGAGCUGAGACCAGUCGAAGAUACCAGCUGGCUGCAACUGUUUAUUAAAAACACAGCACUGUGCAAACACGAAAGUGGACGUAUACGGUGUGACGCCUGCCCGGUGCCGGAAGGUUAAUUGAUGGGGUUAUCCGUAAGGAGAAGCUCUUGAUCGAAGCCCCGGUAAACGGCGGCCGUAACUAUAACGGUCCUAAGGUAGCGAAAUUCCUUGUCGGGUAAGUUCCGACCUGCACGAAUGGCGUAAUGAUGGCCAGGCUGUCUCCACCCGAGACUCAGUGAAAUUGAACUCGCUGUGAAGAUGCAGUGUACCCGCGGCAAGACGGAAAGACCCCGUGAACCUUUACUAUAGCUUGACACUGAACAUUGAGCCUUGAUGUGUAGGAUAGGUGGGAGGCUUUGAAGCGUGGACGCCAGUCUGCGUGGAGCCAACCUUGAAAUACCACCCUUUAAUGUUUGAUGUUCUAACGUUGGCCCCUGACCGGGGUUGCGGACAGUGUCUGGUGGGUAGUUUGACUGGGGCGGUCUCCUCCCAAAGCGUAACGGAGGAGCACGAAGGUUAGCUAAUCCUGGUCGGACAUCAGGAGGUUAGUGCAAUGGCAUAAGCUAGCUUGACUGCGAGCGUGACGGCGCGAGCAGGUGCGAAAGCAGGUCAUAGUGAUCCGGUGGUUCUGAAUGGAAGGGCCAUCGCUCAACGGAUAAAAGGUACUCCGGGGAUAACAGGCUGAUACCGCCCAAGAGUUCAUAUCGACGGCGGUGUUUGGCACCUCGAUGUCGGCUCAUCACAUCCUGGGGCUGAAGUAGGUCCCAAGGGUAUGGCUGUUCGCCAUUUAAAGUGGUACGCGAGCUGGGUUUAGAACGUCGUGAGACAGUUCGGUCCCUAUCUGCCGUGGGCGCUGGAGAAUUGAGGGGGGCUGCUCCUAGUACGAGAGGACCGGAGUGGACGCAUCACUGGUGUUCGGGUUGUCAUGCCAAUGGCACUGCCCGGUAGCUAAAUGCGGAAGAGAUAAGUGCUGAAAGCAUCUAAGCACGAAACUUGCCCCGAGAUGAGUUCUCCCUGAGACUUUAAGUCUCCUGAAGGAACGUUAAAGACGAUGACGUUGAUAGGCCGAGUGUGUAAGCGCAGCGAUGCGUUGAGCUAACCGGUACUAAUGAACCGUGAGGCUUAACCUU
rnacentral:rRNA from 1 species